rnacentral:RNase_P_RNA from 1 species
GGGAGCAGGAGGGUUGCUGACAGUGUACGACACUGAGGAAAGUCCCCUCUCCAUGGUGCAGGCGUCUCACCGCAAGUUGAGGGCCCGGGAGGGUCGGCUCUGCAACAGAAACGAACCAUAUCAGGUUAACAGUGAACUCGGAAGAGAGAGGUUCCCUGAAUGUGGCUGGAACGAGCACCCACGCCGGAGCAAGUCCAAGCAGGCCCGUAUGGCACCGACAGGGCCGGGUAGGAUGCAUAGUUGAAUGCAACCAGCCGAAAGGUGAACAGAAAGGGGCUUACUCCCUGCACCC